AUUGGAGGGGGGGGUGUCCCUCAGCCAGGAUUGCGAGAGGGCACAGGCCAAGCCGAGGGACUCCACCAGUGUAUG
rfam:Myotis brandtii contig222410, whole genome shotgun sequence.